CAGGAUGUAGAAUACCAUGUACAGAAAGAAUACCCCCCGCAGCUACAAGUACCUCCUGAACACAUCAACUCUACGACUCUCAUCUAUAAAACACUUCCUGUUGAGCCCUCUGAGUGGAACAGACCUGUGGUGAAAAUAAAAGUAGCCAAUCAGACGUUGAGCUGUUCAGCAAAAAUGUUCCACCGUCCAGACCCGCUGUUUAUCAACUUCAGAGCCAAGAGGACAGGAGAUAAUAUCAAAAUCACCAUACUGAAAAUGGAUGGAUGGAUGGAAAGACAAACUGAUGAUGACAACAGAAGAGUUGUCAAUAUGGGGCAUUAAGGACGACAAGCAGUAUCCCUGCAUCCUGCAGAAUGAAGAUGAUGAUGGUGAAACUACCCCUAGUUAUGAAUAUGGGAAACACAGUGACUUCGAAUAUGGAUCACAGAUUCUGGUCUGUGAGAUUCAAAACACAACCGAUGUCAUAUUUAAUCAGCUAAAGAUUAUGUAUGGAGAAACAAUAGUGCGGGUGUGGAAUCCAUCUUUAUUGCAUCAGGUCCUUCUCAUCCUGCGCCUGAUGUUCCUCCCCUCUGUUGCUGUUGUGCUGAUGAUCAUCUGUCAGUGCCAGAAGAGACGCGUCGUCCAGAAGACCAAGCUCUGAUCGUCUCUGCUGCGCCUCAGGAUCCCUCAGUAGUUUUCCAGCGGGUUUUCCAGCUUCCUCGAACGUCUGGGUGAAAUGCCAGAUGUUUCGGAUGGAAAACGUAACGAAGGCUUAAGACAGGCGUGAACAACAAAAAUGAAAACCUCGCAGAGUGUCAGUCAAAAAUAGUCAAGUUAGCAUAGCAUACAAUGCAACAAAAAAGCAAGUUCAGUCUUCCAGUGUCACUGGUUGACGGGGAAGUAAAUGUUAUAUAAUCUAAUUUGGACGUCCUGGUAGAGGAGGGAGAGAAGGGGAGUUGCAAAUGAAUGCCACGCUUCAGUUUUGUUUGUAAAAAGUUUGCUUUUGUAAAAAAAAACAUGCAUCUCUUCCGUUUCGCUUGACAACUAUGCACUGAUUUGUGUUUUAACAUGACAAAAUAUGACAACAUCAAGAACUAUAACUCUUGCAAAGCUCUGUAAGUUUACAGAUAUGCUGCAGAAGUUGUUUUUUUCCCCUCACACUGGUUAUAUCUUCUAUCACUUCCUGGCAACAACUGGAUGAUUUUAAUUGGUGAAAAAAUGUUUCCCACUAGUGUAAUGUACUUCAAGAAGCUGUUAUUUUGAAGCAUAGUCUUCCUGUAGUGACAGAUAUUGCUAAAUAUACACUCAAGAUUUCUAACCAGUACUAGUUAUACAUGCAUGUAUUUAUCUUGACAUCAGAUUAUGGUCACACCAUCAACAUUUCAGCAACUUCAUUUGCAUUUUUUCUAUCACCACAGAAGUUAGAGAUAAGACGCCUUUUGAAACAUUGCCACAAAUUAAACAGAACAUCAAAAAUAGUAUUUUAUCAUAUUUCCACUGCAUCCAGAUAAGCAUGUUAGUAGUUAUUGUUUUAAAUUAGAUUAAUCUAAAAAAAAAAAACCUGCUGCUUAGUGUGCUUUUCCUAAGCAAACGUCCGUCAUUACGCUGAUGAUACUCUGAUGUUUAUAACUGCUAAAUAAUUCUUUUGAAAAAAUAUAAUACAAGUCUGCCUGAUGAAUGGAUGGGUAAUCUGUAAUCAAGUUAGCGCUACAGUCUUUGUGAUGUUUUGGCCCCAAAUCUGGGCAUAGAUCUUUGUAACCUCGGUAACAACCAUGUGGAUCCAGUUUUAAAAUGCUGCAAAGAAAAAAUAAAAGUGUUUGCUCUGAACUCUUA